rnacentral:lncRNA from 1 species
AACUUGUAUGGCUGCAUAAGGAAAAUUGUCGUCGUCACUUAUGCGCCAUAAGGAAAACCGUCCAAAGGAGCGGCAAUAGGAUUUUCCUGAAUUGUUAAGUGUCAAUUAAUCGAAAUAACCAUCCAUGAAAAGUAAUGAAGGUGAGAGGAGGCUUCUCCAUACUGUUCUAGACCCUAGGAUUGUUGUGUUGUUGCUUGGGCUUCUGUAUGGGCCUGAUAGAUUUAUGUAAUGAACUAUUUUUUGGUGGCCUACGCCGUGGGCCAUUGUAUUUUUGCCCUUAUGGGCAUUUAUGCAAUGAUAAUUUGCAGUACGAAAAAAACUCUAUAUUGCCAUAUUAUACGUCUCAUUCGAAAACGUGUCACGAAAGGCAGAGAAAAAUAUUUUUAUGGUGUAUUGUAAUUCAUCACAACCGUUGAUCAAUAAUGAAAAUUCAUUUAUUUAAAAAAAAAAAAGAAA